AGGCUCGAUAAUCAGCUCACGACAUAUAGGUGUGUCGUGUGUGUACAGAGUUAUAAAGGUUGGUAUAAAAUCCUUGUUAAAUCGGAGAAUUAAUUCGGGUUACGCCAGAGGUGGCGAUAUAUGCUCCAAGUGGAAGCGAUUCGCCAUUAAAUAAAAGAAGAAGAAGAAGAAUUACGCCAUCUGGUGUCACAAACAAACGUGUGCCUGCAUUAGCUUUGUUACGGCAAUGGAUUGUGGGAGAUUCUCAUAACAUGUGAGGAUCUCUCGAGGGUAUUUGUGCAGGCCCUGAGUGGUUGAGAGCAGUGUCUGGAACAGGACAAGCAUGUAGAUGGUACUGCAUUUGCAAAACUUGCUUUCCAGCCCCUUUGCCAGAGGGGCUGAAAGGCUCCCUAAAGUCUUGAUCAAAGCAGGGAGGUUUUUGACAUGCCCAGCGAACAAGUUAUUUGUCCCCUACCUCUAGCUGUUUCUGAAAUGUUUGCAAUCUCUAAUGGUGGAGAAGAAAGAGUAGAGACACUCCAGGAGAUCAACGCAGGAAAGUAAUCACCAACUGUGAGUGAUCUGUUGCCGAGGGGACACUACACCGGAGUUACAUAAGCAGAGGUGGAAGUGUUAGGCUAAAUCGCCUUGGUUUGACCUUCGCAAAUCGGUCGACGACCUCCCCAUGGAGGGUGACAUGCCUGUAUGCCAAUUAAUAUUUUUUCCCCAACUCCAGAAAACCUGUUUUGAAGCUCCUCCAGCAUUCUGUCGAGAACUGGAAAGAAGAGCCUUGUGUAUGUUUGAAUUUUCAUGUUCUCGAAAAGAAUCCAAUGCACGCUUCCAGUUUGUGUAUCCUGAGGUGGUGAGGGUGUCCCUUUGAUCCCUUGAUUGCUUUGGUUUGCCAUAUAGUCUACAACUAAAGCAGAAUGCUGCAUUGGCAGUGGUAGAAUAUUCAACCCAUUUAAAAGUAUCAAACCAACUUGGUUGAAAUGAUCUCUUUUGCUGGCCAAACAUGCCGGAUGGAAAACAGUGAUGUCUCACUUGCCUUGGCCCUGUAUCUGCAGUCCCUAAAUCAGUUACCCAGUUACCCAUUGACUCUUGUCUGUUCUGAUGUUCCUGUUCAUUGUUGUUCUUAUCUGUUGUAUCUCCUUCUUGUGUGUCCCUUUCUCCUGUUCUCCUUUCUUCAUCCUCUACUAUUUUUGGCUCAUCUGUGAUGACUGUGUAGGUAAACACAAACAAGUAUUUAAAAUCAGUUUCCAGCUCUGUCAAAUAAAUGAAUUUCAAGAUACACAAAUUUGUCUUCAUUAAAAUGAGUGUCACCACACUGUCACAAAAUAUAAUACUAACCAAUUGAAAAUAGUUAAAUUGACAUUGGAAACCUCUUGUACAGUAGAUAUCACUGUUAGUAGUUAUCUGCCAAUAGGAGAGAAUCAUUC